rnacentral:rRNA from 1 species
UACGUAGGGUCCAAGCGUUAAUCGGAAUUACUGGGCGUAAAGCGUGCGCAGGCGGUUGUGCAAGACCGAUGUGAAAUCCCCGAGCUUAACUUUAGGGUAAGUUAGUCAUUAGGUUGGACUGCACGGCGUAGAGUGUGCCACGAGGGGGGUAGGAAUUACCUACCGUGUAGCAGUGAAAUAGCGUAGAGAUGUGGAGGAAUACCGAUGGCGAAGGCAGCCCCUCGGAGUAACACUGACGCUCAUGCACGAAAGACGU